rnacentral:rRNA from 1 species
GGAAUAUUGGACAAUGGGCGAAAGCCUGAUCCAGCCAUGCCGCGUGUGUGAAGAAGGUCUUCGGAUUGUAAAGCACUUUAAGUUGGGAGGAAGGGCAGUAACUUAAUACGUUGCUGUUUUGACGUUACCGACAGAAUAAGCACCGGCUAACUCUGUGCCAGCAGCCGCGGUAAUCCAGAGGGUGCAAGCGUUAAUCGGAAUUACUGGGCGUAAAGCGCGCGUAGGUGGUUUGUUAAGUUGGAUGUGAAAGCCCCGGGCUCAACCUGGGAACUGCAUCCAAAACUGGCAAGCUAGAGUACAGUAGAGGGUGGUGGAAUUUCCUGUGUAGCGGUGAAAUGCGUAGAGAUCGGGAGGAACAUCUGUGGCGAAGGCGGCCACCUGGACCAGCACUGACACUGAGGCACGAAAGCGUGGGGAGCAAAC